AACGAACGUUAGCGGCGCGCUUAACACAUGCAAGUCGCACGAGAAAGGGCUUCGGUCCCGGUACAGUGGCGCACGGGUGAGUAACACGUGGGUAAUCUUCCCUUUGGCGGGGGAUAACCUUCCGAAGGAGGGCUAAUACCGCAUAAGACCACGACUCCGAAAGGAGACGAGGUUAAAGCAGGCCUCUAUACAUAAGCUUGCUCCAAAGGAUGAGCCCGCGGCCCAUCAGGUAGUUGGUAGGGUAACGGCCUACCAAGCCUAAGACGGGUAGCUGGUCUGAGAGGAUGAUCAGCCACACUGGAACUGAGACACGGUCCAGACUCCUACGGGAGGCAGCAGUGGGGAAUCUUGCGCAAUGGACGAAAGUCUGACGCGA
rnacentral:rRNA from 1 species